AGUGAACGCUGGCGGUAGGCCUAACACAUGCAAGUCGAACGGCAGCACAGUAAUAGCUUGCUCUUACGGGUGGCGAGUGGCGGACGGUUGCUGAAUACAUCGGAAUCUACUUUUUCGUGGGGGCUAACGUAGGGAAACUUACGCUAAUACCGCAUACGACCUACGGGUGAAAGCAGCGGAUCUUCGGACCUUGCGCGAUUGAAUGAGCCGAUGUCGGAUUAGUUAGUUGGCGGGGUAAAGGCCCACCAAGGCGACGAUCCGUAGCUGGUCUGAGAGGAUGAUCAGCCACACUGGAACUGAGACACGGUCCAGACUCCUACGGGAGGCAGCAGUGGGGAAUAUUGGACAAUGGGCGCAAGCCUGAUCCAGCCAUACCGCGUGGGUGAAGAAGGCCUUCGGGUUGUAAAGCCCUUUUGUUGGGAAAGAAAAGCAGCAGGUUAAUACCCCGCUGUUCUGACGGUACCAAAAGAAUAAGCACCGGCUAACUUCGUG
rnacentral:rRNA from 1 species